CGCUCCCUUUUUCGUUCCCUUCGCUGAGGGUAGCGGUGAGUGGUUUGUGCGGGGUGGGGGGGCGCGUACAAUCCAGUGCCAUCCGCGGCCGUCCGCGCUUGUGCCUGUCCCCUGUCCAGCUCCAGCAGUGCCUCGCAGCCCCUACUGCUGCACUCGGCCUGUAUUGAAGGGGUGUCCCCGCUGGAGGGGCCGCGGGGAUCCGGCUGCACCUCGGCCGCGCCCAGCUGCCGGGGGAGUCCUUCGCUAGCGGCUGCCUCUGCUGCUCCAGGCUGCUCUCUCGCUGGCCGCCACCCCCCGUUCUCCCGCAGACUGUCGCUCCCCCUGGAAGAGGGCCCGGGGGUGUCUGGCCGCAGACCGGGUUGGCCGCUCUCUGCUCCCCAGCCAGGGGUUCGCCCAUAGCCCGGGGUCUCGCUGGUGCACGUGAUGACUAAAGCUUUUUUCCCCAUCAGAGCGACAGUGUUGAUUCCGCUGCUCUAAGCCAGAUUGUGUCUGAUGCACCAGCCCGGGGAGGCGGCCUUUGCUUUGCUCCCGCCGGAUGGUCAGCGAGACUAAAUCUCUUUCGCCUCUUCGGUCUUCUGCUUCUCAGGUCCACCAAGCAGGCGCGGGCAACAUGUGCUGGAGACCUGGCCUGGUAGAGCAAGGCCAGGCGCGGCCCCAGGAUAGAACCAGCAGGAAGCGCCGGUGCUCUGGUUAUGAACCCACUGUGUCCAUUGCCCCCUGUGACCCUCAUGGAGGAGGCAGCGGUCCAUGGCAGCAAGGUGGGAGCAACAUGAGCCUGGGAUACCUGGCUCACUGA
rnacentral:lncRNA from 1 species